rnacentral:rRNA from 1 species
GGCCACGAUUAGCCAUGCAUGUCUAAGUAUAAGUUAGUAUACAGCGAACUUGCGAAUGGGCUCCAUUAAAACAGUUAUAGUUUAUUUCGAUAGUAAAAUUACAUGGAUAACCGUGGGUAAAUCUAUGGGCUAAUACAUUGCGCAAAGGGCCCGAACCCUGAAGGGCUGUAUUUAUUUAGAUCUAACCAUCAUUUUGGGUGAAUCAUAGUAACUGAUCGGGACCGGUGCGUUAGCGCGGUAAAUCGUUCAAGUUUCUGCCCUAUCAGCUUUCGAUGGUAGUGUAUUGGGACUACCAUGGCAGUCACGGGUAACGGGAGAAUUAGGGUUCGGUUCCGGGAAAAGGGGAGGCCUGAGAAAACGGCUAACCACCAUCCUAAAGAAGGCAGCAAGGCGGCGGUAAAUUAACCCAAAUCCCCGAUUUCGGGGGAAGGUUAGUGGAACAAGAAAAUAAACAAACUCUGAGAAAGUUUUACCCUCCUUCGAGAAAUUGCCAAUGGAGG